rnacentral:rRNA from 1 species
GACAGAGGAUGCAAGCGUUAUCCGGAAUGAUUGGGCGUAAAGCGUCUGUAGGUGGCUUUUCAAGUCCGCCGUCAAAUCCCAGGGCUCAACCCUGGACAGGCGGUGGAAACUACCAAGCUGGAGUACGGUAGGGGCAGAGGGAAUUUCCGGUGGAGCGGUGAAAUGCAUUGAGAUCGGAAAGAACACCAGCGGCGAAAGCACUCUGCUGGGCCGACACUGACACUGAGGCGCGAAAGCCAGGGGAGCGAACGGG